AGCUUUACACAUUGGCAGUAUCAUAGCUAGUGAAGUUUAUCUAAGGCAGUUAUUGCUAAUUGAGAAUGCUAGUAAUACAGAUAUUUUGGCAGGCAUUGCCAAAAAUAUGUUUUGUUCAUAAAUAAA
rnacentral:snRNA from 1 species